UAUAUCAACUGGCUGACACAGAGGGCACAGCAUGAUCAUAGGUGGUACAGAAUCUGUUUCCACCACCAUGUGCUUCCAACCCCUAGCUCUGCACAAGGUGAAGGACCGUAUUUUUAAACAAGUCAAAGGAUGUGCCAUGGGAGCUUGCUACAGCCCUUCCUACGCUGGUUUGUACUUGGAUUGGAAUGUCCACAGUGCAAGGUGUUCUACAUUGGACGGACAAAGAAACGCCUUCAAGACUGCUUAGUGGAACACAAGUAUGCCAUACGGGUAGGCAAUGAUGACUACCCCAUGGCAAGGCACUACAAGUCCUUACACCAUGGCAACCCUGCCUCCCUACAAACUAUGGGUAUUUAUCAUGUUCCGGCCUCAAAUAGAAAAGGGGACCGUCUUAAACAGCUAAACCAAAGGGGACGUUUUGGGAUUUACAAAUGACAGGCCACUAAGUACCCUGGUCUAAAUUAAGAUAUGGAUUUCUCGCCUUUUAUGUAGGGUCGUGAUAGGACCAUUUGCUGUCAUCUAGUGGACAUGUUGCUCUAUUGCCCUCAGCUAUGUUUACUGUUGUUGUCCAUGUUUGCUGUGGUCUAGUGUACUAUGGAAUAGAUUGCUUUCCUUUUCUUGGCACUUUGCCCAGUCAUAUUUAAGGUUAGAACUACCUUUCUAAGCGUUCUGAUGUUUCUAGCAUGGCGUAAACAUUAACAUUAUUUCCCUUUAAUGUGUAAAGUAUUGCUUACUAGGCGUUGUCGAAUCUAUUUUGUAACCACUCCCUCUUCUAAUUAGGGCUGAUUGGAAAAAGCUGUUCAAAAGAGGACAUUGUAUUAUAAUUUAUGUGUACUCCCUGGCAAAGACCAUGCAGCCCGAAACGCGUCGGGUUUUUAAAACUUUGUUUCUAUUGAACAUGCCAUACAAAUAAAGCCAUUUUAAUUAAUUAUA